rnacentral:rRNA from 1 species
GACGAACGCUGGCGGCGUGCUUAACACAUGCAAGUCGAACGGAAAGGCCCUGCUUGCAGGGUACUCGAGUGGCGAACGGGUGAGUAACACGUGGGUGAUCUGCCCUGCACUUCGGGAUAAGCCUGGGAAACUGGGUCUAAUACCGGGUAGGAGCCAUUUUUAGUGUGAUGGUUGGAAAGUUUUUUCGGUGUAGGAUGAGCUCGCGGCCUAUCAGCUUGUUGGUGGGGUAAUGGCCUACCAAGGCGGCGACGGGUAGCCGGCCUGAGAGGGUGGACGGCCACAUUGGGACUGAGAUACGGCCCAGACUCCUACGGGAGGCAGCAGUGGGGAAUAUUGCACAAUGGGCGCAAGCCGGAUGCAGCGACGCCGCGGGGGGGAUGACGGCCUUCGGGUUGGAAACUCCUUUCGCUAGGGACGAAGCUUUUUGUGACGGUACCUAGAGAAGAAGCACCGGCUAACUACGUG